CAAAGGUAUACUACAAGUCCCC
rnacentral:siRNA from 1 species